UGGGGAAUCUUGCACAAUGGGGGAAACCCUGAUGCAGCGACGCCGCGUGAGCGAUGAAGCCCUUCGGGGUGUAAAGCUCUUUCGGCAGGGAAGAUGAUGACGGUACCUGCAGAAGCAGCUGCGGCUAACUACGUGCCAGCAGCCGCGGUAAUACGUAGGCAGCAAGCGUUGUUCGGAGUUACUGGGCGUAAAGGGUGUGUAGGCGGUUGUUUAAGUUUGGGUGUGAAAUCUCCCGGCUCAACUGGGAGGGUGCGCCGAAUACUGAAUGACUCGAGUGCGGGAGAGGAGAGUGGAAUUCCUGGUGUAGCGGUGAAAUGCGUAGAUAUCAGGAGGAACACCGGUGGUGUAGACGGCUCUCUGGACCGUAACUGACGCUGAGACACGAAAGCGUGGGUAGCAAACAGGAUUAGAUACCCUGGUAGUCCACGCCCUAAACGAUGCAUAUUUGGUGUGGGCAGUUCAUUCUGUCCGUGCCGGAGCUAACGCGUUAAAUAUGCCGCC
rnacentral:rRNA from 1 species